CAUAUACUCCCUCCGUCCGGAAAUACUUGUCCCAGAAAUGGUUGUAUCUAGACUUAUUUUAGUUAUAGAUACAUCCAUUUUAUCCAUUUAUAGGACAAGUAUUUCCAGACGGAGGGAGUAUGUU
rfam:Triticum aestivum genome assembly, contig: Triticum_aestivum_CS42_TGACv1_scaffold_577214_7BL